AACAGGAUUAGAUACCCUGGUAGUCCACGCCGUAAACGAUGUCGAUUUGGAGGUUGUGCCCUUGAGGCGUGGCUUCCGGAGCUAACGCGUUAAGUCGACCGCCUGGGGAGUACGGCCGCAAGGUUAAAACUCAAAUGAAUUGACGGGGGCCCGCACAAGCGGUGGAGCAUGUGGUUUAAUUCGAUGCAACGCGAAGAACCUUACCUGGUCUUGACAUCCACAGAACUUAGCAGAGAUGCUUUGGUGCCUUCGGGAACUGUGAGACAGGUGCUGCAUGGCUGUCGUCAGCUCGUGUUGUGAAAUGUUGGGUUAAGUCCCGCAACGAGCGCAACCCUUAUCCUUUGUUGCCAGCGGUUAGGCCGGGAACUCAAAGGAGACUGCCAGUGAUAAACUGGAGGAAGGUGGGGAUGACGUCAAGUCAUCAUGGCCCUUACGACCAGGGCUACACACGUGCUACAAUGGCAUAUACAAAGAGAAGCGACCUCGCGAGAGCAAGCGGACCUCAUAAAGUAUGUCGUAGUCCGGAUUGGAGUCUGCAACUCGACUCCAUGAAGUCGGAAUCGCUAGUAAUCGUAGAUCAGAAUGCUACGGUGAAUACGUUCCCGGGCCUUGUACACACCGCCCGUCACACCAUGGGAGUGGGUUGCAAAAGAAGUAGGUAGCUUAACCUUCGGGAGGGCGCUUACCACUUUGUGAUUCAUGACUGGGGUGAAGUCGUAACAAGGUAACC
rnacentral:rRNA from 1 species